rnacentral:rRNA from 1 species
UACGGGGGGGGCAAGCGUUGUUCGGAAUUACUGGGCGUAAAGGGCUCGUAGGCGGCCAACUAAGUCAGACGUGAAAGCCCCCGGCUCAACUGGGGAGGGUCAUUCGAUACUGAUCGACUCGAAGGCAGGAGAGGGUAGUGGAAUUCCCGGUGUAGUGGUGAAAUGUGUAGAUAUCGGGAGGAACACCAGUGGCGAAGGCGACUACCUGGCCUGUUCUUGACGCUGAGGCGCGAAAGCUAGGGGAGCAAACGGG